GAUGAACGCUGGCGGCGUGCCUAAUACAUGCAAGUCGAACGAGAUCUUCGGAUCUAGUGGCGGACGGGUGAGUAACACGUUGGUACCUACCCCGAAGUGGGGAAUAACUGCCCGAAAGGGUGGCUAAUACCGCAUAAUACCGUAAGGUUAAAGCAUUUAUGCGCUUCGGGAGGGGCCUGCGUCCCAUUAGCUAGUUGGUAGGGUAAUUGCCUACCAAGGCGACGAUGGGUAGCUGGAUCGAGAGGUUGACCAGCCGCACUGGGACUGAGAUACGGCCCAGACUCCUACGGGAGGCAGCAGUAAGGAAUCUUCCACAAUGGACGAAAGUCUGAUGGAGCAACGCCGCGUGCAGGAUGACGGCCUU
rnacentral:rRNA from 1 species